GGCAAAAGGCACCUAGUAACUUAAAAAGUAGGUGUUAAACUUGGAGCUUGUGUUGAUUCAUCUAUGGACAAAUAUAGGUAGCAUGCUUUUUGCCCCGUUAUUUAAUAAUUGCAUGGAUGUUUAUUUCCCUCAUUAAAUUCUAGGCUCUUGAAGACAAGGACUAUGUGAUACCACUUAUUACAAUGGCAACAAGAAACCUUUUUGAGCAUUUAUGAUGUGUUAGGCACCGUGCUAAUCUCUUUACAUGUCUGACCUUAUUUAUUCUUUAAAACCAAACCAUGAGGCAAAUAAUACUUUCAGUUUUAUAGAUUAAAUAAGUGAAGCUUAGAGAGGUUAGAUAACUUGUUAAUAUCCUUCAGCUAUCAAGUGGUAAAGUCAGGAUUUGAACCUAGUGCCAUAUUUGCAAAGUCCAUCGUCUCAGCUACUGAGCUUUAUUCGUUCCCUCUUAGUUGCAAGGCAACUAGCAUGUGCUUAAUAGAUAUUUGCUGAGUCAAAGUCAUUAAUAUAUAUCCGUUAGAUUCCCACUAUCUACAUAUUAGGUGUUGAGUUAGCUAAUUGCUUAAGUGAAGGAACUUUUUAAAAUUUUAAGAUGGGAGUAUUAGUACUGAACUUACAUCCUUUAUAUAGCAAGUUCUACAGGGAAAUAAGCAAUCCCAUUCUAAAGAAAUGCGAUAAAUUCGUGUGAAAAAUAAAAUAUAUAUUUUUUGCUAUUAUAGUACCUUGAAAUUACCACAUUAAUUAUAAAUUUCUUUAUUAAAUAUGUUUCCCCUUUUCUCUUUGUUUUUCAAAUUAACUUAUUGAGGCUAUAUCACUAUGUCUGGUUUUAGUUUUGAGAUACAGAUAUGCUUUUGAGGAAUGAUAACAAUGAAAUUCAUCUGAGAAUGCUGUCAACAAACUGAUAACCUAUUUCUCUGGUGGAUGUUAUAAUGAUGCAAUAGUUUCAGAUCUUGAAUAUAGGACUUUGUAACAAAUGAUCCUUUAGGGGCCUUAUUAUCCUACUUAAUUAGAGAUGAGCAAGAUAAUUUAUCUAUUUCUAUUUAAAAUUUUUCAUCAAAGUAGACGAAAAAUGUCAUGAGUGAUAUUUUUCUUUGUAAAAUAAAUGGCUUUGUUGAAUUACUUAGAAACAUUGUUGCAAAUAAUUAGCAACUGAAACUAUGUUGUACUCUUUCUUUUUUUUUUUUUUUUUUUUUUUUUUUGAGAUGGAGUCUUGCUCUGUCGCCCAGGCUGGAGUGCAGUGGCGCAAUCUCCGCUCACUGCAAGCUCCGGCUCCCGGGUUCACGCCAUUCUCCUGCCUCAGCCUUAUGUUGUACUAUUUCUAUGUUCUCAAAAAAUAUAUACUUACUAGAGAAGACCCUCAGCUUCCCAGCAGGGCAAGUUCUAGAGGUUCUGCUGAUAGAUCCCAAGAGGCCCUUUUAAGAUGCAGAGGAAGGAGACAAGGGCAAGUGAUUCUGUGACAGAGUAAAAGGCCGACUGUUCCUCCAAGGAGGAUGAUAAUACUAAUUCAUCCACCUUGUUCUUUUCCCUCAUUGUUCCCUUCCUCCUUCUCCCAAGGUUGGAGGGAUGGGAGAAGGGUCGAAGGAAGGGACACUGGGCUGAAAUGUAGGAGCCUAGACUUUCUUGGGCCAGACAUCUGAGGACUGAAGGCUGUUUUCUUCCUUCCAGUCUUUCCAUCCUUUCAUUUUUCCAUCAUUUCAGUAAUUUAUUCAUUGAAAAAAUAUUCACUGAAUGCCCAACUUAUGCUAGAAACUAUGAUAGGUAUAUUGGCUACAGUGAGCAAUAUAAAACAUGUUCCACCAUGAACAAAUUAUUUCUUGAAAUACUUCAAUGGGGGAAAUUCAGUUUGCAAAGUGUUACUUACUUUAUGCAGUAUGUACCUCACAUUUUGUGAAGAACCCAGAAAACAAAAAGUAAAACAAAUAAAGGUGGUUCCACAUUUUGCUUGUUAUAUGUAUAAAACAGAGUAAUGCAUCAAGAAUAACCAUGAGGUGUGGCAAGAGCUGCAAUUACAGGGUGAACAAGAUCAGGGAAACGUCUUUGUGGUGAUGUUUGAACUAAGACUGAAGAAUGAGAAUGAGUUAACCAUGCAAAGAACUAGGAAAAAAGCAUUCUAGGAAGAGAGAGCAGGCAAUGAAGGGCCUUAAAAGGGGGAACAGAUUGGUGUGUGUGAGGUCAGUGUAGUUGGAAUCUGUUUACAGAGCAAUUGUGGAACGAAAUGGGAUUGGAGAUUGAGGCAGGAGUAAGACGAAGGAGGCCAUGUUAGGAAAGAAGUUCACACUUCUAAGUGCAUUAGUGAGUCACUGAAGAAAGUGAGCAAAGGAGGUGAUUUGACCUGAUGUACAUUUUUUAGAACCCUGUCACUAUUGUGUGAAUAAAGGGUUGGAAAGGGAAAAGGAAGGAAGACGUCAAGCCACUCAGGAGACUAUUGCAGUAAUCCAGGGGGCAGACAAUGGUAUAGACUAAGGCUUAGUCAAUGAGAUGGCCUUGAGACAUAUUUGGAGACAGAACCAAUAGGAAAUACCAGUGAAUUGGAUGUUUGUGUCUUGAGUACCUGAGUGGAUGGUGGGGCCAUUAACUAAGAUGAGGAAGACUAGGAGAGAGGUAGAAUUGAGGAAGAAAAUCAAUGGGUUCCAUUUUGGACAUGUUAAGUUUGAGGUACUUUUCAGAUAUGCAUGUAAGGAUAUCAGGUGGGCAUUUAGAACAGGAGUUAGGAUUUAUGAUGAGAAUCUGGAACUAAACACAAACUUUUGAGGGGCAUUGGCAUACAGAUGGCAUUUAAAACCAGGGUCUUGGAUGAGCAUAACUAAGGAAAGAGUAGAAGGAGAAGGAAAGAAGCCCCAGGAGUGAACCAUGAGAUAUCCCAAUAUUUGGGCUAGAGAAGGAGCUAGCAAAGGAGACUGAGAAGGGGAAGCUACUAACAUAGAAGGAAAACCAGGACAGUAAGCAUGAUGGAAACCAAGAUAAAAGUAUGCAUCAAUAACUUAAAAAUGGCAUACUAAAAAUGUCUAAAGAUACUGCAGAGAGAGUUUUCCAUCACCUGUUGACUACUGCUAGGGCUCUGGGCAAAAUGAUUGAUCUGUUUCUUAGUCUCCAUUUCCUCUCAUCUUUCUCUGACAUUCUGGCCUCAAAUUCAAAGUAGUUUCUCUGGGUUGUGAAGCAGGUUGUAAAAUUUCUUCUAUUUCCUUCUACCCCAACCCAAGUUCCAGUUCGUUGGAGACUAUUUUAGCUGGAUGUGGGUCCAGUGAAAACAUCAUAGUGUGAGUGGCCAGUAGGUCCAAACUUCUUAAACUGUGUUUGCCAUCCUGCUGAAUGGGGCCUGAAUAAGCAAAGACCAUUGCUGAGGGAGGCAAUGUAAGCUACCACUGCAGCGUCUUCAAGACAAAAAUACUGAAUAUUUUUGCAUGUGUAUUUAUUUUACCAAAAUAAAAAUUUUAUUAAUUGUAUUCUUCUUCAAAUAUUUAUUUUGCAAGAAGUAAAUAUGAAUCUUCAUUUUAUUUAUAUGUUCCAAAAAUAGGUUCUGUUUAAUUAAAUAUUAAUUAAAUAUUCUCACUGAGGAUUAUUUAAUUAUCAUUUGUAUUUUUGUAAGAAAAAGUAGAGAUGUAUUUUCCCCUUACAAUUGUGAUAAUCAAAUGAGUAAGCUUUGUGUUUUAACAGUAAUAAUAUUUAAACUCUAAUAUUAGAACUUUUUUUCAUUGUGAUGGAAGUAUGAGGCCAGGGUACCAAUGGUUAUAUAGAUAUGUUAAAGAUCUCUCCUUUCUUGAUAGUUCUACCUGAUCUGAAAGCUAGAAUUUCAGAGGGGUGGCUUGAGGCUUACUGCUUGCAGAUUAAGUACUUUUUUCCUGGUUAAUUUAAUUCAGUAUUUAACGGCAUUUUUUCCACCUAACGUUACUUUCUCUUGAGGCAUUUCAUUCAAAAAGCUCUGAUCUUUUUAAUAGUCUAAGUGUAUUUGUUAGUUUUGGAAGCUGCCUUGCAUUUUUAGAACAUAAUUAUAAAAACACUUUUUUGACAACCAAGAGCCGAAUUAUCUUGCAAAUACAGGUAUUUGCAAGAUAUUAUAUUUUUUACUAUUAUCUUUUUUUGUUUAAAAUGUUUUUUAAAAUUUUGUGGGUAAAUAGUAGGUGUAUAUAUUUAUGGGGUACAUGAGAUACUUUGAUACAGGCAUGCAGUGAGCAACAAUCCCAUCAUGGAAAACGGGGUAUCCAUCUCCUCAAGCAUUUGUUUUUUGUGUUGCAAACAAUCCAAUUAUACUCUUUUAGUUAUUUUUAAAUAUACAAUUAAAUUAUUAUUGACUAUAAUCAUCCUGUUGUGCUAUCAAAUACUAUUAUCUUUAUCUUGCCCCAGUAAAAUGCAUGGCAUAUUUCAAAAUUUAUUAAAGUAGAAUGGUUUAUAUAAUAUUCAGUUAUACUCACUUAAAACUGUUUUAUUGAUUAUUUGUUACUAUGGUUUGAAUACGAUUUGUCCUCUCCAUGUCAAUUCAUGUUGAAAUUUGAUUGCUACUGUAGCACUGUUGGGAGAUGAGGCCUAAUGGGAGGUAUUUGGGUCAUAGGGGCACUGCCACCAUGAAUAGAUUAAUGCCAUCGUGUGAGAGUGAAUUCUUCCUCUCAUGGGACUGGAUUAGUUACCACAAGAGCAGAUUGUUAUAAAGAGAGGUUGCCUCUCAUGGUUUGUCUUUUUUGCACACGCGCACUUCCUUUUCCACCACUUCUCCACCAUGUUAUGAUGCACCACGAGGCUCUCAUCAUAAGCAGGCUAGAUGCAGCUGCCUGACCUUCCAAGUCUCCAGAAUUGUGAGACAAAAUAAACCCCUUUUCUUUAUAAAUUACCCUGUCUCAGGUAUUCUGUUAUAGCAACAGAAAACUGGCUAAGACAUUUGUCAUAUGCAAGAAAAACUGUGUGAGGCACCAUGGGGAAUGACAAAGAUGCAUGAUAAACAUCUAUUUCCCUUACAAAGAGUUUAACCUAAUCAAUAGAAAUGAGGCUCCAGUCCAGUUCUGCAAACUGUCAUGCAGAGAAGUCACCUUGCACCUGGCUGUUAAACCUUUAUCCCAUCCUGAAAUGUUUAGAGGAUACUAGUCAAGUUCCUCACAGUGCACCAUCCAUCAGGGAAAUGUGAGCAUGUCCUUAGGGCCCCAGAAGCAUAUUUUAUUCCCUAGUGCCUAGCAUAUAGUAUGCAUUCAAUGAAUAUUGUUGAGUAAGUGAAUAAAUGAAUGAAUGCUGCAGAAACUAAAUGGUUUAAAGUGGCUUCUAACUAAUCCCAGGCAGUAAUAUAUACUGGGAGAAAUAGGCUCUUUAUAUACCUGUCUUCAGUGGUAGAAAAUGCUUUCCAUAUGAGUCCUAGAGACAUCUUGUUAUACCUAAUUGACUAGGUAGUUUUCAUUAUUUUAGGAUUUUCUUUGGAAAGUGCUAUGGUUUGAAUGUGUCCCCUUCAAAAUUCAUGUGUUGGAAAUUUAAUCCCCAAUGUAACACUGUUGGGAGGUGGGGCUUUUCAGGAACUAUUUAGGUCAUGAGGGCUCUGCCCUCAGGAAUAGAUUAAUGCUGCUAUAGAAAAGGCUUGCAGGAGUGGGUUUGUUCUCUCUUGUCCUUCUGCCUUCUGCUAUGUGAGGACAUCAAGAAAGCUGGCACAAGAUUCCAGCACCUUGAUCUUCCCAGCCUCCAGAACUGUGAGGAAAUUAAUUUCUAUUUUUUACAAAUUACUCAGUUUCAGGUAUUCUGUUACAGCAGCACCAAAUGGACUAAGACAGACAAUGAUGCUUUUCUGAUAUUUUAAAGUUGGUAUCCGUAAGAAUCAUUCAUGCAGAUUCUCAGAUCUCCAUCUCCCCAGAUUCACUUUCAGGGGUUUGAAUUGUACAGAAGCAUUCCAGGUGAUUCUGAUGCAGGUUCCUGUAGACCACAUUUUUAGAAAUACUAUUAUUGAGUACAGAUAGGCAUAUUGAUCUUUAGGAUUUCACCAGACUUUAUAACUAAAACUGUCUAAAAAUACACACUAUUGGCUUGAGAGUAAUUUUAAAAAUAGAAAUUAAGAUUUCAAAAGCACAAGUCAUAUAUGCAAAGUGGCUUUGCAGUUAUCAGAAAGUGUGAUUAGCAGGGCUACUCUAAUAUGUGAGAUCACCCAAGGUUACCAUUGAUUAAUAAAGAUUUAGGCAAGGCUGGAAUCAAUAGGUCAGUUGUAACGGCUAUUCCAGUGUUGUUACUGAGUUACCAUAUGAUUUAUGGUUCCUAGAUCAAUAAAGAUGAAGUGAGUCUUUAAAUUUUUAGGCAAGUGUGUAUGUGAAAAGAAGCUAAAACAGGACCAGCUUUGAAAAAAAUCAAGAGAAGUGUUUAUUCAAGGACAGUUUUUUUCCUAGAGUGAUUUUAUUGGAUCAAUGUGAUACCACUGAUCUCGACAGCAACAAAUUAUAACUCAAAAGUGAACUUGAAGCUUUUCAAGUUGUUCAUGCAGGCAUACCUGAGAAAUAUUGGAGAUUCAUUUGCAGACUACCACAAUAAAGUGAAUAUCACAAUAAAAGCCAAUCACAUGAAUUUUUUUGGUUUCUCAGUGCAUACAAAAGUCAUUUUUACAUAAUACUGUAGUCUAUUAAGUGUGCAGUAGCAUUGUGUCUUAAAAAACAAUGCAAUACCUUAAUUAAAAUAUUUUAUUGCUAAAAAAUGCUAGCAAUCAUCUUAGCCUUCAGCGAGUCAUAAUCUUUUUGACCAGCAAAAAGGAGAGUCUUCCCUUGAUGUUGAUGGCUAUUGACUGAUCAGGGUGGUGGUUGCUGAAAGUUGGGGUGACUGGCAAUUUCUUAAAAAAUAAGACAACGAUGACUUUUGCCACAUGAAUUGAGUUUUCCUUUCACAAAAGAUUUGUAUGUUUCAUUCAAUGCUGUUUCACAGCAUUUUACCCACAGUAGAACAUCUUUCAAAAUUGGAAUCAAUCCUUUCAAACCCUGCUGCUGCUUUAUCAACUAAGUUUAUGUAAUAUUCUAAGCCCUUUGUUGUCAUUUCCACAGUCUUCACAGCAUCUUCACCAGGAGUAGAUUCCAUCCCAAAAAAGUCACUUUCUUUGCUCAUCCAUAAGAAGCAACUCCUCAUCUGUUCAAGUUUUAACAUGAAAUUGAUAAAACAAUCAAUUACAAUCCAAUAACAUCUUCAGGCUUCACUUCUAGUUCUUUUGCUAUUUCCACCACAUCUGCAGUGACUUCUCCCAUCGAAGUCUUAAACCCCUCAAUGUCAUCCAUGAGAACUGAAAUCAGUUUCUUCCAAACUUCUGUUAAUGUUGAUAUUUUGACCUCCUCCCAUGAAUCAUGAAUGUUCUUAAUGGCAUCAAGAAUGGCGAAUCCUCUCCAGUAGGUUUUCAAUUUAUUUUGCCCAGAUCCAUCAGAGGAAUCCCUAUUUAUGGCAGUUAUAGCCUUACAAAAUGUAUUUUUUAAAUAAUAAGACUUGAAAGUCAAAGUUAUUCCUUGAUCCAUGGGAUACAGAAUGGAUGUUGUGUUAGCAGGCAUGAAAACAGCAUUAAUUUCCCUGUACAUCUCCCUCAGGUCUCUUGGGGGACCAGGUGCAUUAUCAAUGAGCAGUAAUAUUUUGAAAGGAAUCUUCUUUUCUGAGCAGUAGGUCUCAAGAGUGGGCUUAAGAUAUUCAGUAAACCACGCUGUAAACAGAUGUGCUGUCAUCCAGACUUUGUUUUUCCAUUUCUAGAGGAUGGGCAGAGUUAAUUUAGCAUAAUUCUUAAGGGCCUUAACAGUUUUGGAAUGGUAAAUGAGCAUUGGCUUCAACUUAAAGUCACCAGCUGCAUUAGCCCCUAACAAGAAAGUCAGCCUGUCCUUUGAAGUUUUGAGGCCAGGCAUCACCUUCUCUUUAUAUAUGAAAGUCCUUGAUGGCAUCUUCUUCCUGUAGAAGGCUGUUCCAUCUCCACUGAAAAUCUGUUUAGUGUAGCCACCUUCAUCAAUGAUCUUAGCUAGAUCUUCUGGAUAACUUGCUGCAGCCUCUACAUCAGCGCUUGCUGCUCUACCUCGCACUUUUAUGUUAUGGAGACGGCUUCUUUCCUUAAACCUCUGAACCGAUCUCUGCAAACUUCCAACUUUUCUUCUGUAGCUUCCUUACUUCUCUCAGCCUUCAUAGAGUGGAAGAGAGUUAGAGUCUUUCUCUGGAUUAGGCUUUGGCUUAAGGGAAUGUUGUGGCUGGUUUGAUCUUCUAUCCAGACCACUCAGACUUUCUCCAUAUCAGCAAUAAUGCUGUUUCACUUUAUUAUCAUUUGUGUGUUCACUGGAGUAUCACUUUUAAUUUCCUUCAAGAACUUUUACUUGUUUUAAAGCUCUCCUUCUUAUUCUCCUGUGGCUCUCAUCUUGUGGAGCAGCCAGAACACACACAACAUUGAUUGAUUAAGUUUACCGAUCUUAUAUAGGUGCAGUUCUGAGUACUCCAAAACAGCUACAAUAGUAACAUCAAAUAUCACUGGUCACACAUCACUACAACAGACAAUAAUAAUGAAAAAGUUUAAAAUAUUGUGAGAAUUACCAAAAUGUGAAACAGAGACAUGAACUGAGCACGUACUGUUGGGAAAAUGGUGCCAAUAGACUUGCUCCAUACAUUAUUGCCACAAACCUUCAAUUUGUAAAGAAUACAAUAUCUGUGAAUCUCACUAAAGCAAAGUGCAAUAAAAUGAAGUAUGCCCAUAUAUUGCAUAUCUGUACUUGUAAAUGCAUUUUACAAGUAGGACUAACAUGCGGUAAAUCAUAAAUCUGUUAAAAACUCAGAAAACAACAUCAACUGGUGAUUUGCCUCUGUGCCCACUGUCUUAGAUUUUUGCAUUGAAAAGGAUCUGUUCUAUUUGACACAGCAUAGAUUCAGUGAAAGUAACAGAUUAGAACACCUUGAAAGAAUGGGCAAUGUUGGCAUGAGAAGCUAUUUGUAAUCUCUGUUCUAGAAUCUUUAAUAGUUUAAAAUAGUUUUUGUAUUGAGUGUUUUAGAAGGUAAGUGGUAAGAAAUAAAAUGACUACUUUGAGGCAAAUUAUGUAAAAGAAGGAUUUAAGGAGGUUGUUCAGGAAUAGUUGUUUUAAAAAGAUGACAGUAGCAAGCUAAGUUGCAAGCUUAGAACCUCAAGAAGCAAAAGGGGGAAAUACCUUUUGUUCAUCUUACCUCCACGACACUGUAGAUGAUUAACUAUUUAUAGCAAAUAGGAGGGGAGGAUUUUUGAAGAUAUCUCACAUUUUGGUGCUUGCGUUAUAUAUAAAUCCUCUUAUUUGAAGUGAUCUGAAAAGACCAGUAAACUGAAAAAGUCAGUUAGGGAUCAUAAAACCAUGUAUCAUAAAUGUGACACUCACCAAUGCUUUGCUGUAGUGGACAAGCCUUCUUCUUUUAGUGUAGAAUUAUUGGAGUUCCAAGUUGUCUUACUUAUGAAAACGGAUGAUGUUAGGUAUUGAAUGGGAUUUUCUCUGUUUUUGCUUGUUUGUUUUGUUUUUCAGGCCUUGAAAAUUAAGUCUCAUAGCUGAAAACAAAAAAGACUUAGUAAACUGCCCCUUAAAUUUACAAAAGCAGCUAUGACUGGGGCCAGCGCUCUGCCUCCAGGACUGUAGAGAAGAGGCAGGCAAAACCAGCUUUUGUUCACUUAUCCCUCUGCCCUACCCUAUGCAAGUGGAAGGCUGGAAAGAAGAGAGAGCCAAACAUUUUGGGAAAAGUAGUGUUCAAUAAGAGAAAUGAUCCCCUUUCUCCCAGUGAGGGGAGGCUACAUCCUGAAUAACUGGGGAGCAUCUGCAGGAAAUAAGGUUGACAUUGCAUUCCUGAGCUGAAUGUUCAGCUUACUGAUCUGCCCUUCUGAUACCCGGGUGGGGGAAAGAGCAUCAGGGAGUCACCCUCUUGAGUUCCCUAUGCAUGAUGGAAGACAAUUUUUGCCUGUUCCCAUAGGAGCUCUUUUGGAUUGAGAUCCUAUUCAGUAAUGUCUGUUGAGACCCUCACCUGUCCACAUCUAUCCAUGCUCAGGCUUUAAAUAUUCAGUUACAUCAUUAAUUAUAACAAUCAAUUACUUGCAAAGAGACAAUGCCCGUUUUUCCUCUCCCUUCUCCCCAUCCUCAUACCAGAGGGAUAACUAGGGAGAAAGGCAGGAGAAUAUGAGAGUCACGGGAGAAUAAGGAGAGCUUUAAAACAAGAAAAAGAUUAAAGCCAUAAGAAGAUUGCCUGAAAAACUGGAAUGAGAUGGUUCUAAUGACUAAAAGGAUCACACGGUUUUGCGAUAAAAAUAAGAUUCCUGAGGGGGUUGCUAGAGCACAGUUAGUAGCAGUUACUCCAAAAUGAAAACUAUUUGAUAUGUAUACUGCAAAAGUUGAAAUUUUCACAUAAAAACCAUACUUUAAUAAUCCACUCCCAUCAAGUAGUCUAUGGUAGCCUGUGUGUGUGUGUGUGUGUGUGUUUUGUGUGUUUGUGUGUGUGUGUGUGUUUCUUAAAUGAGAACUUAUACUCCAGGGAAGCAAUCUCAGUAGAGCACUCUUUAAGAUUGUUUUGCUCUACCCAUCCCAUCUUUUAU
rnacentral:lncRNA from 10 species